GGCCCGAAGCGGAGAAUUUAAGCCCCAGUAAACGGCGGUGGUAACUAUAACCAUCCUAAGGUAGCGAAAUUCCUUGUCGGGUAAGUUCCGACCUGCACGAAUGGCGUAACGACUUCCCUGCUGUCUCAACCACAGGCCCGGCGAAAUUGCAGUACGAGUAAAGAUGCUCGUUACGCGCGGCAGGACGAAAAGACCCCGGGACCUUCACUAUAGCUUGGUAUUGGUGUUCGGUUCGGUUUGUGUAGGAUAGGUGGGAGACUGUGAAGCGGCUACGCCAGUGGUUGUGGAGUCGUUGUUGAAAUACCACUCUGAUCGUAUUGGAUGUCUGAACCUCGGCCCGUGAUCCGGGUCAGGGACAGUGCCUGGUGGGUAGUUUAACUGGGGCGGUUGCCUCCCAAAGUGUAACGGAGGCGCCCAAAGGUUCCCUCAGCCUGGUUGGUAAUCAGGUGUUGAGUGUAAGUGCACAAGGGAGCUUGACUGUGAGACUGACAGGUCGAGCAGGGACGAAAGUCGGGACUAGUGAUCCGGCACCGGCUUGUGGAAGCGGUGUCGCUCAACGGAUAAAAGGUACCCCGGGGAUAACAGGCUGAUCUUCCCCAAGAGUCCAUAUCGACGGGAUGGUUUGGCACCUCGAUGUCGGCUCGUCGCAUCCUGGGGCUGGAGUUGGUCCCAAGGGUUGGGCUGUUCGCCCAUUAAAGCGGCACGCGAGCUGGGUUUAGAACGUCGUGAGACAGUUCGGUCUCUAUCCGCCGUGCGCGUUGAAACUUGAGAAAGGCUGACCCUAGUACGAGAGGACCGGGUUGGACGUACCUCUGGUGGGCCAGUUGUCACGCCCGUGGCAUGGCUGGUUGGCUACGUACGGGAGGGAUAACCGCUGAAAGCAUCUAAGCGGGAAGCCUGUUUCGAGAUGAGGUUUCGUGUGAGGUUCCCUGUAGACGACGGGGUUGAUAGGCCGGAUCUGGAAGCCAUGUGAGUGGUGGAGGUGACCGGUACUAAUUGACCGAGCAUUACACAUU
rnacentral:rRNA from 1 species